UACGUAGGGGGCAAGCGUUGUCCGGAUUUAUUGGGCGUAAAGAGCGUGUAGGCGGCCAUACAGGUCAGCUGUGAAAACUCGAGGCUCAACCUCGAGACGUCGGUUGAAACCGUAUGGCUAGAGUCCGGAAGAGGAGAGUGGAAUUCCCGGUGUAGCGGUGAAAUGCGCAGAUAUCGGGAAGAACACCCAUGGCGAAGGCGGCUCUCUGGGACGGUACUGACGCUGAGACGCGAAAGCGUGGGGAGCGAACAGG
rnacentral:rRNA from 1 species